ACGAACGCUGGCGGCGUGCCUAAUACAUGCAAGUAGAACGCUGAAGAGAGGAGCUUGCUCUUCUUGGAUGAGUUGCGAACGGGUGAGUAACGCGUAGGUAACCUGCCUUGUAGCGGGGGAUAACUAUUGGAAACGAUAGCUAAUACCGCAUAACAAUGGAUGACACAUGUCAUUUAUUUGAAAGGGGCAAUUGCUCCACUACAAGAUGGACCUGCGUUGUAUUAGCUAGUAGGUGAGGUAACGGCUCACCUAGGCGACGAUACAUAGCCGACCUGAGAGGGUGAUCGGCCACACUGGGACUGAGACACGGCCCAGACUCCUACGGGAGGCAGCAGUAGGGAAUCUUCGGCAAUGGGGGCAACCCUGACCGAGCAACGCCGCGUGAGUGAAGAAGGUUUUCGGAUCGUAAAGCUCUGUUGUAAGUCAAGAACGAGUGUGAGAGUGGAAAGUUCACACUGUGACGGUAGCUUACCAGAAAGGGACGGCUAACUACGUGCCAGCAGCCGCGGUAAUACGUAGGUCCCGAGCGUUGUCCGGAUUUAUUGGGCGUAAAGCGAGCGCAGGCGGUUUGAUAAGUCUGAAGUUAAAGGCUGUGGCUCAACCAUAGUUCGCUUUGGAAACUGUCAAACUUGAGUGCAGAAGGGGAGAGUGGAAUUCCAUGUGUAGCGGUGAAAUGCGUAGAUAUAUGGAGGAACACCGGUGGCGAAAGCGGCUCUCUGGUCUGUAACUGACGCUGAGGCUCGAAAGCGUGGGGAGCGAACAGGAUUAGAUACCCUGGUAGUCCACGCCGUAAACGAUGAGUGCUAGGUGUUGGAUCCUUUCCGGGAUUCAGUGCCGCAGCUAACGCAUUAAGCACUCCGCCUGGGGAGUACGACCGCAAGGUUGAAACUCAAAGGAAUUGACGGGGGCCCGCACAAGCGGUGGAGCAUGUGGUUUAAUUCGAAGCAACGCGAAGAACCUUACCAGGUCUUGACAUCCCGAUGCUAUUUCUAGAGAUAGAAAGUUACUUCGGUACAUCGGUGACAGGUGGUGCAUGGUUGUCGUCAGCUCGUGUCGUGAGAUGUUGGGUUAAGUCCCGCAACGAGCGCAACCCCUAUUGUUAGUUGCCAUCAUUCAGUUGGGCACUCUAGCGAGACUGCCGGUAAUAAACCGGAGGAAGGUGGGGAUGACGUCAAAUCAUCAUGCCCCUUAUGACCUGGGCUACACACGUGCUACAAUGGUUGGUACAACGAGUUGCGAGUCGGUGACGGCAAGCUAAUCUCUUAAAGCCAAUCUCAGUUCGGAUUGUAGGCUGCAACUCGCCUACAUGAAGUCGGAAUCGCUAGUAAUCGCGGAUCAGCACGCCGCGGUGAAUACGUUCCCGGGCCUUGUACACACCGCCCGUCACACCAUGAGAGUCGGGAACACCCGAAGUCCGUAGCCUAACCUGAAAAGGAGGGCGCGGCCGAAGGUGGGUUCGAUAAUUGGGGUG
rnacentral:rRNA from 1 species